AGGAGGCCCAGCCACACCAGAACACUGAGCAUCAUGCCUGGCUCACAGUGAGCAGAAUGUCAAUGUCUCCAGCCAGUUGUAUCUCAGCUCACCUGGUCACACUGGUUUACUUGCUAUGGCUUAAAGAUAUGAGCCUCUUGAAUUGCAUACCUUUGCAUCAUUUGCCAAUGGUUUGUGAAAUAUCACUUGGGCUGAUGAAGCAAAUUGAUUCCCCAUUUAAAUACACAAGGAACGAAAGAACAAUCAAGAAAAACCCAGCUCUUUUAGUAAGUGGGGUGAUGAAGGUGCUGCUGCAGUCCAAGCAUUCAAUCAAUCCUCAGUGUGGUAGAAUCCACUGAAGGGUAAGGAAUCCAGUUCAGUAAAAUGACACCAACCUAAGGGAUGCUGAUGGCAUGGAGAUGACCUUAGAAUUCAAAGUGACCUCCCUAAAGUGGAGAAGCUGAAAGAAGAAAACAAUCAAGUUCAACAAAGCCCUAUGCAAGAAGGUAUCCAUGGAAAUGAAAAAGAAACUACAGGAUCACAAGAUAUGUAAAGAUCUCCCCUGGAGGAAAAAAAGACCCUAAGAACCAUAGCAGACCACAAGCUGUUAAGAACCAUGAAAGAAGAAGGGAUGGCACCCAAAAGCAUAAAUAGAAAUAUAAAAUAGAGAAAAUGGCAAAAAAAUGAAUGGUUUCAUUCUCAGCCCUCACUAUGAAUCCUUCUCCCCUCCUGCUAUAUCCAUGUGAUACAGCAUGGUAUAGUAGAAAGUACAUGGACCUUAGGCUCAAGAAAGACCUGGGUUCAAACCAGAGCUCUAUGACCUUGGAUAAAUCAUUUCACUUCUCUGAGCUUCAUUUUCUUCCACUGCAAAACAGAAAUAAUAUUUGGACUAACUACCCCACAUAAAAGGUCAUUGGAAGAGGAGUACUUUUAAGUAUACCUUAAAGAUUAUAUAAGUGUGAAGUAUUAUUUAUUUGCUGCUCAAGACUCUAGGAGUUAAUGAGUGACAUUGAAUUUGGAAGAGAUUCUAGAAAAUGUACAACUUAGAAUUUGGUGGCUAGGAUAAGGCACAAAAAAUUAUAGGACCUGAGAUUAAUCUGCCUACAGAACAUAAAUUUUAAAGGUCAUUUAAUGGAAGUCUUAGAGCAUAUGCUGGACUAUUAUAUAGAGACAUCUCACCCAACUCUUGUUCCCUUGAUUCUCAGGGUGAUUUAGGGAUGGCAAUGGAUUCUCAAAGGCUAUGCCAAAAAAGCAUCCAAAGUGACAGGUCCUCUUUGAAGAUGGGCCUGAUGAUAGACUAUGUCUCUGUUGCCUGAUGACCUGCCCACAUACAGAGAGGCACAAUGUAAGAAAUUUGGCAAUGAAUGUGAUAAAUUUGGCAGGUAGGGGAGUCACAAUCCAAGGCCUUACUCAGAGCAAUGAAAUCACAGAUUUUUCAAUGUCCAAGGAUAAUACAAGCAAUCCUCCAUUUCCAACAAAUAUGGAAGCAAAGGCAAUAUGCCUUUAAACCAAUGCAUUAAGGAGUUCAUUUGGCCUUAAGCACCCAUUGGUUUACAGUGAUAAUCUGAAAGCAUUAUCAUGGACUAUGAAAAUAAAUCAAAUUCAAAUCUGUA